rnacentral:rRNA from 1 species
UACGUAGGGGGCAAGCGUUGUCCGGAAUCAUUGGGCGUAAAGAGCGUGUAGGCGGCUCGGUAAGUCCGCUGUGAAAGUCCAGGGCUCAACCCUGGAAUGCCGGUGGAAACUGUCGAGCUUGAGUCCGGAAGAGGCGAGUGGAAUUCCUGGUGUAGCGGUGAAAUGCGCAGAUAUCAGGAGGAACACCAAUGGCGAAGGCAGCUCGCUGGGACGGUACUGACGCUGAGGAGCGAAAGCAUGGGGAGCGAACAGG